rnacentral:rRNA from 1 species
AUUGAACGCUGGCGGCAGGCCUAACACAUGCAAGUCGAACGAGUGGCGGACGGGUGAGUAAUGUCUGGGAAACUGCCUGAUGGAGGGGGAUAACUCCUGGAAACGGUCGCUAAUCCCGCAUACCAUCAGAUGUGCCCAGCUGGGCUUAGCUUGUUGGUGGGGUAAGGGCUCACACAGGCGACGAUCCCUAGCUGGUCUGAGAGGAGGACCAGCCAGAAUGGAACUGAGACACGGUCCAGACUCCUACGGGAGGCAGCAGGGGGGAAUAUUGCACAAUGGGCGCAAGCCUGAUGGAGCCAUGCCGGGUGUAUGAAGAAGGCCUUCGGGUUGUAAAGUACUUUCAGCGGGGAGGCGUUACCCGCAGAAGAAGCACCGGCUAACUCCGUGCCAGCCGCCGCGGUAAUUC